ACGAGACCGAGAAGGGAAGAAGGAUCAAGAUCCUCGGGAGAGUCCUUUUUGCCUCUGUUUUCAUUCUCUCUGCAUGGCAAGAAGCUCUAGGAAAUCUUCAGUGUUGGAGAGUGUUGUUGGAAAGGACUUUUUGCCUCGUGGAUCUGGAAUUGUUACCAGACAUCCUCUUGUCCUACA